CCAUAUAUAACAAACCUAGCUAAAGUUUAUUCCAAAAACUCUUGCCAAGUAGUAGUUUUUUACAAUUUGUCUGAAAAACGCAAAAUCUCUCUCAGUGAUUUUUCGAGUAUUCUCAGGCCGCACCGAUUCACCGAUUCGGCCCUACUUCGAUUUCAGUUUGCACGUCAGGAGCAACUUUCAUCUACCAGAAGCAUAAUUACAUUGAUGUCUUGUUGAAACUGACUUCUUGCUCCUGAGUUGAUAUGGGUUUUGAUAUCGAAUGCAUAAUCGACAUCCAUACCUAUCCUGGAGAGUAUUUCUGUCCUGUUUGUCGAACACUCGUGUACCCUAACGAAGCCUUCCAAUCACAGUGCACCCAUCUCUACUGCAAACCUUGUCUGGCGCAUGUUGCCAAUGGGAGCCGGGCCUGUCCCUAUGAUGGGUACUUAGUUACUGAAGCAGACUCUAAACCCCUUAUUGAGUCAGACAAGACACUUGCUGAAAGCAUAGGCAGAGUUAAAGUGCGUUGUCUCUAUCACAGAAGUGGAUGCACAUGGGAAGGUUCCUUGUCUGAUUGCGCUUCCCAUUGUUCUGGCUGCUCCUUUGGCAAUUCCCCAGUUAUAUGCAAUAGAUGUGGAGUCCAGAUUACGCAUCAGCAAGUGCAUGAGCAUGCCCUGAGUUGUCCUGGUGUAUAUCCUGCACAACAGACUGCUAGUGGUGCCCAAGAUAAUCCCAGCUCUGUUGCAGCCACCACUGCUGUUGUUGCUGACUCAAAUCAAACUACGGCUCAUUCAGGAACUGCAGCAUCACAGGCAUCAAAUGCUCAAACCACAACUGCUUCUCUGCUUCCUGGACAAGAUCCCAAACAGCAAACAAAUGCCAGCUCUCAGGCUCUUGCUCCAGCUCCAGCUGGUGUGCCUACUUCAGAUCAAUGGUAUCAGCAGCAGUAUCAACAGUAUUAUCAGCAAUAUGCUGGAUAUGAUCCUUAUCAACAAUACUAUCCUUAUCAGCAACAACCAAUCCAACAAUAUCAGCAACAACCUCAGAUUUACAUGCAGCCACCAGCACAAUCCCAGGCUCCGGUCCCGGCACAACCUCAAUCCCAGUCUCUGCCCCAGCCGCAACCACUUAAUCCUCAAGCUCAACCUCAAAUGCAAGCUCUACCUAAGGGGCAGACUCAACCACAGGUUCAAGCUGUGGGGCAACAGCAUCAAAACCAGGUUCAAGUCAACCGACAGCAGCAGCUCCCACCUACUAUGCAACCUCAAACCCAAAUUCCGUCACAAAUAUAUCCAACUUCUCGUGCUCAUCCUCCUACUCAGCCUCCACCAUAUCCGCAGCCCUAUCCAAUGCAGCCUCAUUCACAGCACCAUGUGCAGGUGCCACAGUAUCAGCAGCCUCCUGCCCAGGUUCAUCCUGCCCUGUCUUCUCAAGCUCAGUUGCAUCCUCCUGUGCAACCACAACCUCAUGCACAACUUCAACCGCAAACAAAUGUGCAACAGCCUCCACCAUCUCAUGGCCAAUUGCCCCCUCCUCAGGCCGGCCAGCCUGCUCAUGCACUGGGUCAGACCCUCCAUUCAACAGCCAAUGCAGUUUCAGGUUUCCAUUCCUAUCCACAACCCCAGCCCAUGCAGCAAGCGCCUAUGGGUAUGACACAGCAACCUCCUAUGCAUCCGCAUCCUACUACUGGGUCUAUGCCUCCAGUUCAGACUCAUGGUCAGGUUUCUCAACAACCUUCUUUAGUGCGCCCACCUCAAGGUAUACCCAGCAAUCAGCAACCGGUGUUGGUACCUUCUCAAGGUCAAGCUCCCGCACAAUCUCAACUUUAUCCUACUGCUCAACAAUCAGGACAUUCAAUUCAGCAACAUCCUGUUCAGCCUAACCAACAGCCGAUGCCCCAACAAUACAGUCAACAGCAUACAUUUCCUGGUCCAUUUCCGAGCCAGUCACACCAACAAGGUCAUUUUACUCACCAGCAGCCAUUGCAGACUCAGUUUCGCCCUCAAGGUCUUCCUAAUGUGGUGCCUCAAAGUUUACAUGGAUAUAUUCAGCCACAGCAAAAUGUCGCCUUACCACCUCCCCCACAACCUCAACAAUCUCAGACAUAUAUAGGAAGGCCUGGGAUGCAAAAUCAUGUGCAGUCGAUUUCUCAGGCUCAUGGUGGAUAUAAUAUUACAGCGCAGGUUAGACCUGUCCAGCCUGCUUUAGGCCAGUCACAAAUGAAUCCAAGUUAUGGGAACCACAUGAGCAACGAACAUGAGUCUAUGGAUCAGAAGAAACGGUCUGCCCUUGAAAGUAAAGGUGAUCUGUUACCUGACAAAACUGCAGGAAGGCCAGAAGGGGGAGUUCCUUCCCAGGAUAAUGCUCAAGAGGAUCUAGGUUCCCUUGCAGCCAAAUCAAUUGAUGCAGUGGCCCCAAGAUUUGAAGCUGACCUAGAUGAUGAACAGCAGAAGCGUAGGAAAGCAAUUGAUGAGUAUAGACAGAGGGUCAGCAGUGAUAUAGAUGUUCAUAAGGGUGAUUCGGAUGAGAUUAUAGACAAAAGAACUGUUAAGGAAGAGGGAAAUGAGAAUUUGUUGAAGCCUAAAUCUGCUGCCAAAUCAGCUGAUGCAGCAGUUAAGCCAGACAAAGAUGCCUAUGAUGGUGGUAUCCCUGGUCCAGGGUCUACAACAUCCUUUGCUAGGGGCCGUGGUCAUUUUCCUCCACCAGGUGAAUUCCGAGAAGGGAUAAGGGGAAUGGGAAGAGCACCAUUAAGUGGUGCUGAAAUUCCUAGUGGAACACAACACUCAGUGAAUCCAGCAGAAGCUGAAAUGUUUCAUAACCAAAGGGUGAAUCGGUUUGAAGGAAAUCAAGGAAACCCAUUUCCCCCAGGGUCUUUUGAGAAGGUUCCAUUCGGCCAACCUAGAAGUAUGGAAUCAGCUAGGGAUAAAAGGUUGAAGGCGCCUAUGGGGGAGCAUUUAAGUCCUUUACAAGUGCCUCACGAUCAAGUAUCUCGGCCACUUGACAGACCACCUCACGCAUUUGGAUAUGAUUCUGGAUCAAAAUUUGAGGCGAGUGCUGGGGUUCCACCUAACAGAUUGUUGCCUCCAUAUAAUCCUCCUGGUUCAAUGCAUUUCAAGGAUAGUGGAGAAAGAGAAGCACCGCUUGGUCCUCAUGACGACGACAGAAAAAGGGGAGGGUCUGGAUUUGGUGUGCAUCAUAUGGAUUAUUUGUCUGCCAGGAAUCCUGACGGGGAGUUCUCUAACAUUCCACCACGUGGAUUUGCAAGUCGAGUAGGCUUUGAAGAUUUUGGUGGCAGAGACCCCCAUCAAUUUAUUGAAGGGCCUGGACCUUUCAAUUUACCUUCCAAUCUAGCUGGCAGCUUAUACUCUGAUGGUAGGUUCCAAACUUUGCCUGGCCAUUCACAUGGCGGUGAGAUUGAUAGUCGUGGGGAUUUGACAGGUGGCGAGCAUACUACCUUUGGUCGUCCUUACAAACAUGUACGGAGUGGUGAUCUUUUUGGGAAAGACGCUCCAAGUCAUUUGCAUCGUGGUGAGCCUCCAGAUCCUCAGAAAUUACCCCGUCAUUUACGUUUUGGUGAACCUACAGGCUUUGGUCCCUUUGGUGGCCGUGCUUACAUGGGAGAGUUGUCUGCGUUUGGAGAUAUUCCUGGUUUUGGCGAAUCAAUUGGACGCAACAAACCUGGUAUGCCACGGUUUGGGGAGCCUGGCUUCAGGAGCAGGUAUCCUCUCCCAGGAUAUCCGAAUCAUGGACCUUUUGCAGGUGAUGUGGACUCCUUUGACAGACCAAGAAAGAGGAAGCCCAUGAGCAUGGGAUGGUGCCGCAUUUGCAAGAUUGAUUGUGAAACUGUUGAGGGCCUAGAUAUGCACUCACAGACAAGACAGCACCAAGAUAUGGCUAUUGAUAUGGUUAGGUCUAUCAAGGAGCAAAACCGAAAGAAACAUAAGACUUUUGGUGAUCGAGCUUCAGUUGAAGAGAAAGGUCAAACUAGAAAGGCAGUGUUCGAGGGCCGUGGUAGAAAGGCUUGAGCCUGGAAUGGUAAAUAGGAAGUGAAAAGAUGGUUGUAACUAAGCCUUCAGUCAAGCAUUUGCAUCGGAAAGUAGGUGAUUAGCUUUACAGUCUUUCUUCUUUUUCUGGGGGGGUUGUUUUUAUCCUAGCUUUGUUAUUUCAGGUUGCUGCCCUGUUCUUCGAGAUGGUUUUGGAUUGGAAGUUUCUGUGGCAGAAUGUCUUGAGAUAUUUGAAGCUUAGAUAAGAAGAAAAUAGAAACAAGGAAGCAAGAAAGGAUCGACAUCACAAAGCGUCACAACAGGAGUAAAAAAUGGCAAAGUAGACGCAGGGUUGACUCAAGGGCCGCUCAAGUUUGAAGUUAUUAAAGCGUUUGUUUUAGGAGCCCAAAAUUUUAUUGCCCUAAAAAUUUGGCAAAAUGGUUUAGUGGACCUUUGUACUAUGUUCAUUUUGUAAUGUGGAUACUCUUACUUA